AGUAGUUUGAUCAGUGGCUCGAGGACGACGCUGGCGGCGUGCUUAACACAUGCAAGUCGAACGGUGACCCAGGGCUUGCCCUGGUGAUCAGUGGCGAACGGGUGAGUAACACGUGGGCAACCUGCCCCUGACUUCGGGAUAACUCCUCGAAAGAGGAGCUAAUACCGGAUACGACCACUUCGGACAUCCGAUGGUGGUGGAAAGUUUUUCGGUCAGGGAUGGGCCCGCGGCCUAUCAGCUAGUUGGUGGGGUAAUGGCCUACCAAGGCGACGACGGGUAGCCGGCCUGAGAGGGCGACCGGCCACACUGGGACUGAGACACGGCCCAGACUCCUACGGGAGGCAGCAGUGGGGAAUAUUGCGCAAUGGGCGAAAGCCUGACGCAGCGACGCCGCGUGAGGGAUGAAGGCCUUCGGGUUGUAAACCUCUUUCAGCAGGGACGAAGCGAAAGUGACGGUACCUGCAGAAGAAGCACCGGCUAACUACGUG
rnacentral:rRNA from 1 species